rnacentral:rRNA from 2 species
GGGCGAAAGCCUGACGCAGCAACGCCGCGUGACCGAUGAAGCUUCUAGGAGUGUAAAGGUCUGUCGUGAGGGAAGAAAAAUCCGGAUGUAAAUAAUGUUCGGACGUGACGGUACCUCACAAGAAAGCACCGGCUAACUUAGUGCCAGCAGCCGCGGUAAUACUAGGGGUGCUAGCGUUGUCCGGAAUCACUGGGCGUAAAGGGUCCGUAGGCGUUUUGCUAAGUUGAUUGUUAAAUCCAUCGGCUCAACCGAUGAUCUGCAAUCAAAACUGGUAGAAUAGAGUUCGAGAGAGGAAAGUGGAAUUCCUGGUGUAGCGGUGACAUGCGUAGAUAUCAGGAGGAACACCAAUGGCGAAGGCAGCUUUCUGGCUCGAUACUGACGCUGAGGGACGAAAGCGUGGGGAGCGAACAGGAUUAGAUACCCUGGUAGUCCACGCCGUAAACGAUGAGUACUUGAUGAUGGAGGAUUCGACCCCUUCGUUGUCGUAGCUAACGCGAUAAGUACUCCGCCUGGGGACUACGACCGCAAGGUUG